UUCGGAAGUCAGUGCCAGACGGGUGAGUAACACGUGGGAACGUGCCCUUCGGUUCGGAAUAACUCAGGGAAACUUGAGCUAAUACCGGAUACGCCCUUUUGGGGAAAGGUUUACUGCCGAAGGAUCGGCCCGCGUCUGAUUAGCUUGUUGGUGGGGUAACGGCCUACCAAGGCGACGAUCAGUAGCUGGUCUGAGAGGAUGAUCAGCCACACUGGGACUGAGACACGGCCCAGACUCCUACGGGAGGCAGCAGUGGGGAAUAUUGGACAAUGGGCGCAAGCCUGAUCCAGCCAUGCCGCGUGAGUGAUGAAGGCCUUAGGGUUGUAAAGCUCUUUUGUCCGGGACGAUAAUGACGGUACCGGAAGAAUAAGCCCCGGCUAACUUCGUGCCAGCAGCCGCGGUAAUACGAAGGGGGCUAGCGUUGCUCGGAAUCACUGGGCGUAAAGGGCGCGUAGGCGGCCGAUUAAGUCGGGGGUGAAAGCCUGUGGCUCAACCACAGAAUUGCCUUCGAUACUGGUUGGCUUGAGACCGGAAGAGGACAGCGGAACUGCGAGUGUAGAGGUGAAAUUCGUA
rnacentral:rRNA from 1 species